UCAUUAGGAAAGCCACGUGAAUUAAAGAUCAUCAGAAGUGAAGUAGGUCAGAAGACAAUGAUGAAAUUGCGUUAUCAAAGAAUUCAGUCCUAUUCCCAUCGAAGCAAGUAAAUCUGGAUGCUGAGCUAAAUGGAAAGAGAAUUCAUUGCAUUCAUCUACACAGCACCCUAAAAGCCUAGAUGAUAGCAGUAUCCCAGUUACUGAGGUGUAGAAGACAAUAAAGAACAAGGAUUUUAGAAAAAAAUUA
rnacentral:lncRNA from 1 species